UUUCUGUGAGAACAUGUCAAAAUCUACCAGUUCAACAUCUAGAUUAUCGUGGAGUGCAGGUGGCUUGUGUUACAGCGCCAUGGUUUCUUUCCAUCUUCAUCAAUAUGCUUCCAUGGGAAAGUGUUCUCAGAGUGUGGGAUGUGCUUCUGUUUGAAGGAAACCGUGUAAUGCUUUUCAGAACAGCACUUGCAUUGAUGGAGUUUUAUGGUCCUACACUAAUUACAACCAAGGACGCUGGAGAUGCGAUUACUCUGCUUCAAUCAAUGACUGGCUCAACGUUUGAGCGCAGCCAGCUCGUCUUCACUGCUUGCAUGGGUUACCAAG